GCUCACUUUGCAUAUAUAUAUAUACUACAUUGUCAUAACAUAUAUUUUUUUUUAUUUAAUAUUUUUUCAGCAAUGGAAUCUCGCCUUUUAAUCCCCCAAAUCACAACUGAGAAAAAACAAUGGAGUUGUAAAGUUUGUGUUAUUGAAAAGUUGAAUACAAGAAAGUCAAAGAGCAAACCUGGAACCUUGUACAAGCCUAUAACAUUACAAGAUGAAGCGGGCAACAAAGUUCAAGGAAUGACUUAUCAAAA